GUUCGACCUCCAUAUAAAAAUGGAGAGGUCUGCCAUGUUUUUUGUUGAACUUAAGUUGCUACUGUUUAUGAAUCGAAAGCCAAGAGAGGACCUGAAGGGUGUGGACUUGUGAGAGUUCAACACUUAAAUGUACAUAGAUUGACUAAAAUAUUUACCAGGCAAGACAACGUAACUAGGAUACAUCCAUUGAGAAAGAUCCAGAAGCGGAUUUUUUUCAGAACAGGAUGAAUAGGACUUUACGCGUACAAAAGAUAAAGAGCAGAUACGACACAGACCGUAUACGAGUUAUGAAGAAUGUGCUUUUAAACAUCAGAAAGCAAGAGCAGAGGAAAGAAAAACCUAAUGAACAAAGACCACAGAUUUUCAACAAGCAAGGUCAACGUUUACAAGAGAAGCAAGAACUAUGAAGUUCUCAAGAAACAAAGCAGUUAUGGGCUUAUCCAUGACUUUAAAAAGGCAGCCAGAAGCUCGUCACUGGCUACCACAGCGGCGUGCGUGUGCACGUGUGCACACGCAUACGCCAACCAGAGUGGAGGAGAGAAGAACCAGUCAUCAGUACCUCUCCCCCUCCUCCUUUUCUUCCUCCCCCUGCCCCCAUCUUACUUUCCCUGGGCUGGGGUGGUAUUCAACGACUUUUUUUUUUUUUUCUGUUGUCGUGGGUUUUUUUUUUUCAUGUGUCUUUUGGGCCUUUUUUUUUUUUCUUAAACAUUUAUUGAGAAAAUUCAUGUGCCAUAUAACACGGCCCAUUUAAACAGUGCACAAGACAACAGUUUAUAAUAUUUUCAGAGAGAUGUAAAACCAUCCACCCAGGGUUAGAAUAUCGUCAUUACCCUGAACAGAAGCCCCGCACACAGCCGCAGUCACUAUCCGCACAUGCCCACUUUCUGCCUUGCAGGACAACAAAAACAGGGAGCUGUGGCUGUAGUUGUUUAACCGAUUCAUUAUCUCUUAGAAUGAAAUGCCACCAGCAUUGAAAAUGAUCUCCCUUUAUUGAUUUCUUUACCAAAACAAGGGAAGACAUCCUAUAUAGUCUCAGUAUAAUCUCUGAUUUUUAUUCUAAAUCAUAUAGUCUUAGAACUUAAGGAUUAUAGUUGUUUUGCUAUUUGAUUAAUAUAUUCUCAUAUUUGUUAUUAGUAUCUAGCUAUUUUUAGGAUUACUUAUUUACUUACUUACUUAACUAUUUUGAGAGAGAGCAAGUAGGGGAGGAGCAUAGAGAAGAGGACAGAGGAUCCGAAGUAGGCGCUGUGCUGACAUCGAGAGCCCUAUGCGGGGCUCAAACUCAUGAACCGUGAGAUCCUAACGUGAACCGAAGUCCGAUGCUUAACCGAUUGAGCCACCCAGGUGCCCGUGCCCCAUAUCUAGCUAUUUUUAUUAAUGCUUUAUUUAUUUAUGUUUUGAGCGUGAGAGAACGCGAGCAGGGGAAGGGCAGAGAGGGGAACCGAGGAUCUGAAGCAGAGAGCUUCAGCAGAGAGCUGUGCUGACAGCAGAGAGCCCUGUGUGGAGCUCAAAUUCACAGACUGUGAGAUCGUGACCUGAGUCGAAGCCAGAUGCUUAACAGACUGGAGCCAUCCAGAGGACAUGCAGUUUAUGAAAAUCCUUUGGUUAUUCUAUCAUAUAAAGAACUGGUAAUACCAGCAAAUAAUACAACAGAACACCAAGGGACAACAAAACGGAGCCUGAAAAAGAACUCGACACUGUCCAGUACGAUACAGUGGUUCUGUGAAAAUAACACCGGCAUUCGUUCCCCUCGGAAAACCCCUCCUGUCUUUUUGUUUGCUUCUGUGUUCCAAAUCCUGGGUCCAAUAAAAGCUAAAGUAUUAAAUAUGA